GCCGGAGCGUCUCAGGCAGGCUCCAUGCUCGGGGCGCUGCGCUCGGCGGGGAGGGAGGCGGGCAAGGGGGGAGGUGCUGGAAACGACCCUCCUCCUCCUCCUCCUCCGCCUUCUCCUCCUUCUCCUCCUCCUGCUCGCACCCGGGGAGGAGCCCCGAGCCCGGCCGCCCCACGCCCGGGGGAGCGGCCCAGGCCCCGAGCCCGUGGAUCCGGGGGACGCCGGGCUCUGGGGGCUGUUGUUUGAGUCUGCUGGGGGAGAGUUAGGGGUGUUUUCUUUCCUUCUUUUCUUCCUUCUUUACUUCUUCCGUCCUCCUUCCCUUUUCUUCCCUUCCUUCCCCCCUUCCUCUUUCCCUCUUCUUUCUGGAGCAGUUAUUCUAAAACCAGGCAGGAGGUUGCAAGGGGGCACAGGAAGGGUCAGAAAAAGUUGCAGAAACCUUUAUUUUUAAACAUGGGACGAGCAACUCAUGUAGAAGUGCAGUGUGCAGACGCAUGCUCCUUUACCUGUCUCCAGGAAAAAAGUGUAAAGGAAGCUGCAGCAGUUUUGGGGCCUGGCUAUAGGAAGAAGGAAGAGGCUGCAAGCCCAGCACACCCCCUCGAAGUUGCAAGCAGACCAGUUCUUGUGUUUCUGCCAUUGUGGUCAUCCCUGACGGAGAAAGGAGGGAAGUGCAGAGGCAUAGAAGGGAAAACAAAGAGCCCAGCUGUAUGUGAACUCUGAGGGAUGUCCUUUGGGGUAGCCUAGCCAUUGCACCACAGCUGGAAAACUUGGCUUGACUGAAUUGCUUUAAAUGCUUUCUAUGUAUUUACUCCUCCUGGAUUUCUCCCUCCUACCCCAGUUCACAGCAUCCUUCUCUCCCAGCUGCCAGAGCUGUCUGAGCUCCUGUAGAGCUAAACACUUAAUGACAACUGCAGAAGCCCCUAAAGUGAAUUUACUGCCUUAUAAAUGACACACAGGUUUAUUUUAUGGUGAAUAUCAGUACCAAGACAUGCAUCUUUAUUCCUCUGGGGCAGCACUGUUUAUUGAAGACAAAGUGACUAGAUCCAAAUCCAUUGAGGAUAUUCUGUGGUGUUUUGCAGAAAGAAUGCAAAGUGAACAGAAAAUAAUAAUAAAACGACAUUUUCCUUCACUACUUCUAAGACCAUAAGACAGAAUCACUUUCCUUUUCCAGUGUCUCAAAUACACUUCUUCAUACUUCCUCACCCACCUUUUGGGCAGAAAGCAGCCUCAAACUAAAAUUAUGUAGGGACUCUUAGUCCUUCUCACCCUUUAGCACAUGAGAAAAUGUGUAUAGGUAAUCUAGAAUAAAUAAGAAAUGACUGAGGAAAAUAUCUGGAUGCAGGUUCCCUCAUCUCCUCCAACAACGUGAUGCAAGGAGGACAGCAUGUGUACAACAGCCAUAGUUAAGAUUACACCUACUGAGAAGACAUCUGAAGAAAUCUUUGCAAGGGAUGGGUGUGGUUAUGGGCUCACCAUGACAUGCUUCAGAAAACCUUGGCUUUGUCUCCAGGUCCAUCCAUCGGACUCUAUAGACACCACUCAGUGGCUCCCGCGACAUCAGUUGCUCAUAUUCUUCCCACAUGGUAAUUUUUUUCCUCUUCUUUUAUCUGUCUUGCCAGUUCAGAGUAUCAUUCCCUGCAGGUGCUAGCACAGUCCAAGCCAGGUCUGAGAUUGCACAGGACUUUUAGGCACUGCUUUGAAAAAAGUCACUUGUUGAGCAUUAAAUGACACAACGUGUAGAACUAAAAAGCUGCACUGCCACUAAUUAAGCUGCCUGACAUGGUAAAAGAGCAUUAUCAUUACCACCUCCUAAUCCCGAGAAAAAAAGACCAUAAGACAUGCACAUUUGUUUACAUCAUGCAGGUUCCCUGGCAUUGCACAGUAGUAAAGGCAGAUCUUGUUCAGAUCAAAUACUCCCCAAAAUAUCUCCACAACCCAACUUUUUUUUUUUAAACAUGGCCAGUUUAUUAUUUCUUCCCCCUCCCCAGAUAAACUAUAACAUGAACUGAACAGUUAAAACAGCAAGAAUCUGUCAUACGGGCAUAAAAAUGUGUGACUUAAGUUAAAGCCAGCAUUAGGAUUUCUGUACAGGACUUGUUAUGCUUAUUAGGAAAGCUAUAAGGGUUCAAGCACUGAAAAAGGUUAAAAGGUUUAGGUUGGUCAGGAAAGGGUUAUGGUUAAAUAUCAAAAAAAAGCUACUCUUUUGGGGCCUAGGCAGCCAAGUGAAAGUGUGUGCGCGUUAUAGAUACAACUGUAGAACAUUGUGCAUUAUACACAUAUAAACCAGAGAACUCUCCUUCCCAGGCAGGGCUCCAGUGCCAUGCAUGGAAUUACAACCCUGACAUUUCUAGUGCAGCCAUUCCAUUUUCAUGACCCCAGUGAGGCUACAGCAGCUAAACAAUGCUGGGAGCUUGGAAGAGAAAAAACAAAAACAAACAAACAAAAAAAAAAAAAAAACCAAAGUCAAUUUUGUCAAAUAGUUAUAUUUUAAGGAAGGGAAGUGCUGUAAGUAAUCUAGAUGGGACUACAGAAGGAAGGAGCCUGAGAACAGCAAUCUUUAAGCAUUUGCACCAGUGCUUGAGAUCUUCCACAGUACUCAGGGCCCAUUUGCCAAGAGCUUCUACUCCUACAGAGACAAAGAGAACACACAUGCCAAUAAUGUAAAUACAGGAAAAUCUGGAGACAUUGCAAGUCAAGAGAUCAGAGUGCUAUGGGACAGAGACUUCCUGGAAGGAGUGAGGUUAAGGAGAGAUGGCUGACAGGUUUGCAAGAGGAACACUAAUGUUAAAAAAUGUAUGAAAGGCGUCCUGGUAGUAUUAAUUGAAACAAUAGUUAAGGUUGGCCUGUGUUAGUGAGAUGGCGAGGGUAAAGAGCCUGUUCCCAAAGCCUCCUGCUGGCCAGCAGCCUCAGGAACAGAGGGGCUGACACUGCCUGAGGAGGAGAAACAUGUCACCAUAAAAAGUUAUGAAAACAUAAAAAUAGUUCAGUGGGUUUUUUUGGUGGUGAUUCUUGGACUCCGAAUACUUUUCUGGUCACAACUAAACUCCCUGCUACAGCUACCAGACCAGCAGUCAUCACAUUUCUCUGUGCUGUACAUGCAAGAGUUGCUGCUUAAAACUUCCAUGCAGCUACCUUUGCAAAGCCAGUUGUAAAACUAUUUGAGCUGCACUUUACAUUUCAUUAUCAGUCACCAAAUGUCUGUAUCAAAGUGAGGAAAUAUCAUCCCUGUAGCAUGAAAUAAGGGAACUGUGAAAGGAGAGUGAUUCUGCCUAGAGAAACACAGAAAGCCAGCUGCAAUUUUUUGCCCUAUAUUCCUCGUGGAAGACUUUUUUUUUUUUUUUUUUUUUUUUUUACUAGAAUUACCAUGCUCAGUGAUUUAGUUUAUCAUGUCUUUCAACUUUUUUUUUUUUUUAUUUUUUUUUUUUUUUUUUUUUUUUACUAGCAACUCUAGUAUUUCAGUGGAAAUCUAAAGUGACAGCACAAAUUAAGGGAGUCAGCACAGAAAUAAGUAUUGAAGUAGCACUAUAAAAAUCCCCAAAUUAAACACUUUUUUUUU
ensembl:lncRNA